CUAAAUCAUUGUUUUUAUAGUAACUAAGUUAAAACUUCCUGCUCUCUCUGCAGAAACAUCAUCUGCACUGAUGGACAACUUGGGUGCAAGUGGGACACAAACACAAAACAGGAAUUGUGAUGAAGGGAUGGAGCAAGAUGACAUGGAGGACACUUCUUCAGAAAAUUCAACAGGUUCUCUGGCAGACCGUUCCACAAACCGGGGCCAUAAYACUGGACAGAAGCCUCACCAUAAGUGUGAGUUCUGACUCUGGGAACUGGUAAUAGUCCGGUKCCAGAGAACCUCAGGSUCCRCAGGGGUUCAUAAGAUAAAAACAGCUCUACAAGAUAAGAYGGYRCAAGACCAUUGAGACAUUUGAAACMAGUAAAAGAAUCUUAAAAUCAAUCCUGAGACGUACUGGGAGCCAAAGCAAUGAUUUUAAAACAGGAGUGAAGUGAGCCGCCUUCUGGUCUUGGUUUGGACUCCAGCAGCAGAGUUUUGUAAUAGCUGAAGGCUGUGUACAUUAGCAAAAAGCACCAAGAAAAUACUGCACACAAUGAAGACUUUAA